GCCGGGGUGGUGGAAUGGUAGACACGACGGAUUCAAAAUCCGUUGCUAGCAAUAGCGUGGGGGUUCAAGUCCCUUUCCCGGCA
rnacentral:tRNA from 1 species